rnacentral:rRNA from 1 species
AUACGGAAGGUCCGGGCGUUAUCCGGAUUUAUUGGGUUUAAAGGGAGCGCAGGCGGAGAUGCAAGCGUGACGUCAAAUUUCGGGGCUCAACCCCGUCUCGCGUCGCGAACUGCGUCCCUUGGUUGCGGGAAGGGGAGGCGGAACUCGUGGUGUAGCGGUGAAAUGCAUAGAUAUCACGAAGAACUCCGAUCGCGAAGGCAGCCUUCCGGCCCGUCAACGACGCACAUGCUCGAAGGUGCGGGUAUCAAACAGGAUUAGAUACCCUGGUAGUCCGCACAGUAAACGAUGGACACCCGCGGUUUGGCCUAUAUGGCUGAGCCGCCAAGCGAAAGCGUUAAGUGUCCCACCUGGGGAGUACGCCGGCAACGGUGAAACUCAAAUGAAUUGGCGGGG